GGGAGAGCUCGAGAGACUCGGGAGACCUCGGAAGACCUCGGGAGACCUCGGGAGACCUCCGGACAGAGGAAGACUAUCCCCCCAGAUCGCUUCCCCCCUCGGCGGGCAGCACCCCAUUCCUCUGAGGUGCCCAUCGAAGCUGUCAGCCACCAUCACAGACUGCCAGGAACAUGUGCUUCCCUAACCUCAUUGUGCAGCUCGUGUCAGGACCUUCUCUUUAUCGUUUUCGUCGUGUGUAAUAUUCAUCACACCGGUUUAUUUAUGGGGCCCUCGUUGGGAAGUUAUUUUUCAGGCCUGGUGAAUAAAACAUUAGACUUUGCGUCUUGACGGGAAACCAAGGGAUAAACUUCAAGAACCACUUUUCAGCAAGACUCCAGAGAGACGGCUCAGCAGUUAAGAGCUGUUCCUGAGAGAACCCCAGUUCACUUCCCAGAACUGACAUGGAGGCUCCCGAUCAGCCGUCAGUCCAGUCCUAGAACCUUCAGUCCAGCUGUCAGUCCAGUCUAAAGCCUUCUCCUGAGCUCUGAGAACACCAGACAGACACACGGUGCAGACAUGUGCAGUCGAGACACCCAGGCUCCAGCAUUGUGAGCUAAGUGGUGAUCCCAGUCACUACAGUGGCCACUCACUGUGGCCUGUCCUUUGGUAAGAGGGCUGAGUACAAAGCCAUCCCUUUCUUGUGGGAGCCCCUGAUGUGUGUCCCUACCAACAGCAGGACCUGGUGCUCCCUCCAGAGGGAGGAGAGCCUGCUGGUUAGUUUUCUAGGCACAAUCACUACAAGUUCAAGGGCACCUGCGUCUCUCCUCGGAUUCUCCAGGAGACUCAGUGCCCCUUGGGUUUUCCAUACAUCAACAAGAUAAUGACCUCAGUGCUCCCUGUAGUGGUUUGAAUAGGUUUGGCCCCCAUACACUCACUGUCCGAAUGCUUGGCCCACAGGGAGUGAUACUAUUAGGAGGUGUGGCCUUGUUGGAAUAGGUGUGGCCUUGUUGGAGGAAGUGUGUUGCUGUAGGGGAGGGCUUUGAAAGGGUUCUCCUGGCUUCCUUCUGAUUAAGAUGGAGAACUGCAGGCUUUGCCUGCCUGUAUUGUAAGCUGCCAUGAUUCCCACCAUGCUCUGUAAGCCAACUCCAGUUAAAUGCCGUCCUUUAUAAGGGUUGCCUUGGUCACAGUCUGUCUUCACAGCAAUGGAGACCCUAACUAAGCCAGUCCCCAAACCCCACCAGGCAAGUGCUACCUGUCCAUCUCAUAUCCAACUCUGAGAGAAGCCGACCCUGGGAACCUGGACACUGUGGCUUUCUGAGCCACUCUGCAAGGUUCCCACUCAAGAUCUGCUUGGGUGGGGCCAUGCAUCUAAGCACUGUCCCUCCAUGGCUCUUUGGAGGAGUGCAAGGAGUGCAAGGAAAGGUGCUCCAGUUCAUCACCAUCUACAGCAAAAACACUUGUGCAAGCAUCAAGUUUCUUCUCCAAGACAGUUGGGACGUUAGUCUAGAGACUGUUGUGAGCCUAGUCGGAGGCGGGCAAAGGCUUGAAUACCAGGAUGUUCACAUGGUCAGGUGAACGCACCCAGGAACCUGGCUCUGACAACUUUGCCUGCACACUUCUGGGACCAGGAUCUAAUGUAGGGAUGCAAAUACACUGCUAAUUUUAAAAACA